rnacentral:rRNA from 1 species
AGAGUUUGAUCCUGGCUCAGAGUGAACGCUGGCGGCGUGCCUAAUACAUGCAAGUCGAACGAUGAAAUUUCUAGCUUGCUAGAAAUGGAUUAGUGGCGCACGGGUGAGUAACGCAUAGGUUAUGUGCCUCUUAGUUUGGGAUAGCCAUUGGAAACGAUGAUUAAUACCAGAUACUCCCUACGGGGGAAAGAUUUAUCGCUAAGAGAUCAGCCUAUGUCCUAUCAGCUUGUUGGUAAGGUAAUGGCUUACCAAGGCUAUGACGGGUAUCCGGCCUGAGAGGGUGAACGGACACACUGGAACUGAGACACGGUCCAGACUCCUACGGGAGGCAGCAGUAGGGAAUAUUGCUCAAUGGGGGAAACCCUGAAGCAGCAACGCCGCGUGGAGGAUGAAGGUUUUAGGAUUGUAAACUCCUUUUGUUAGAGAAGAUAAUGACGGUAUCUAACGAAUAAGCACCGGCUAACUCCGUGCCAGCAGCCGCGGUAAUACGGAGGGUGCAAGCGUUACUCGGAAUCACUGGGCGUAAAGAGCGCGUAGGCGGGAUAGUCAGUCAGGUGUGAAAUCCUAUGGCUUAACCAUAGAACUGCAUUUGAAACUACUAUUCUAGAGUGUGGGAGAGGUAGGUGGAAUUCUUGGUGUAGGGGUAAAAUCCGUAGAGAUCAAGAGGAAUACUCAUUGCGAAGGCGACCUGCUAGAACAUUACUGACGCUGAUUGUGCGAAAGCGUGGGGAGCAAACAGGAUUAGAUACCCUGGUAGUCCACGCCCUAAACGAUGGAUGCUAGUUGUUGGAGGGCUUAGUCUUUCCAGUAAUGCAGCUAACGCAUUAAGCAUCCCGCCUGGGGAGUACGGUCGCAAGAUUAAAACUCAAAGGAAUAGACGGGGACCCGCACAAGCGGUGGAGCAUGUGGUUUAAUUCGAAGAUACACGAAGAACCUUACCUAGGCUUGACAUUGAGAGAAUCCGCUAGAAAUAGUGGAGUGUCUAGCUUGCUAGACCUUGAAAACAGGUGCUGCACGGCUGUCGUCAGCUCGUGUCGUGAGAUGUUGGGUUAAGUCCCGCAACGAGCGCAACCCCCUUUCUUAGUUGCUAACAGGUCAUGCUGAGAACUCUAAGGAUACUGCCUCCGUAAGGAGGAGGAAGGUGGGGACGACGUCAAGUCAUCAUGGCCCUUACGCCUAGGGCUACACACGUGCUACAAUGGGGUGCACAAAGAGAAGCAAUACUGCGAAGUGGAGCCAAUCUUCAAAACACCUCUCAGUUCGGAUUGUAGGCUGCAACUCGCCUGCAUGAAGCUGGAAUCGCUAGUAAUCGCAAAUCAGCCAUGUUGCGGUGAAUACGUUCCCGGGUCUUGUACUCACCGCCCGUCACACCAUGGGAGUUGUGUUUGCCUUAAGUCAGGAUGCUAAACCAGCUACUGCCCACGGCACACACAGCGACUGGGGUGAAGUCGUAACAAGGUAACCGUAGGUGAACCUGCGGUUG